rnacentral:rRNA from 1 species
UCAAAAACAUGUCUUUGUGAUGUUUAAUAUAAAGUCUGACCUGCCCAUUGAUAUAAAGUUUAAAGGCCGCGGUAUAAUGACCGUGCGAAGGUAGCAUAAUAAUUUGUCUUUUAAUUGAAGGCUAGCAUGAAKGGUUGAACAAAAGGCUAACUGUCUCUGAGAUAAAUCUUGAAAUUAACGUUUAAGUGAAAAGGCUUAAAUGAGCUAGAGGGAYGAUAAGACCCUGUAAAUCUUUAUAUUUUGGCUGAUAAGGUUAAAAGUUAGGUUAKUAUUUAAUUUUAUAAGUUUGAAUAUUUUGUUGGGGAGACAGGGGYAUAAAAGGAAAUAACUGCCUUARAGUUUAAGUUAAAAAUGUUUAAAUUAUUAAGUGAUCCUUUAAUAAGGAAUAUAGACUAAGUUACUUUAGGGAUAACAGCGUAAUYCCYUUUGAGAGUUCAUAUCGAAARRGGAGAUUGCGACCUCGAUGUUGAAUUAAUGAUCCUUUACGGUGCAGAAGUUGUAUGAGGAGGUCUGUUCGACCUUUAAAUCUUUACAUGAUUUGAGUUCAAACCGGCGUGAGCCAGGUUGGUUUUCUAUC